rnacentral:rRNA from 1 species
CCCCACUGCUAUCGAGAUGGGACUAAGGUAUGCUAGUCGAACGACCAGAACUAUGUCUGGAAGUGGCACACUGCUCAGUAACACGUAGCUAACCUACCCUUAGGACGUGGAUACCCCCGAGAAAUUGGGGUUAAUCCGCGAUAGAUGUAAUGUCCUGGAAUGGUAUUACGUCUAAAGGUAUUUCAUACAUGUUUGAAAUAUGCCUAAGGAUGGGGCUGCGGCCGAUCAGGCUGUUGGUGAGGUAAUGGCUCACCAAACCUUUGACCGGUACGGGCCAUGAGAGUGGUAGCCCGGAGAUGGACACUGAGACAAGGGUCCAGGCCCUAAGGGGCGCAGCAACCGCGAAACCUCCACAAUGCACUCACGUGCGAUGGGGCUAUCUCGAGUGCCACCUGAUGAAGGUGGCUUUUCCUUGGUCUUCAAAGCCUUGGGAAUAAGAGGGGGGCAAGACUGGUGUCAGCCGCCGCGGUAACACCAGCCCCUCGAGUGGUGGGGAUGAUUAUUUGGCCUAAAGCGUCCGUAGCCGGCCGUGUAAGUCUUCCGUUAAAUCCAGCGUCUCAAGCGUUGGACUGCGGGAGAUACUGCAUGGCUAGAGAGUGGGAGAGGUCAGCGGUAUUCUGGGGGUAGGGGCGAAAUCCUUUGAUCCCCGGAGGACCACCAGUGGCGAAGGCUGCUGACUAGAACACGUCUGACGGUCAGGGACGAAAGCUGGGGUAGCGAACCGGAUUAGAUACCCGGGUAGUCCCAGCCGUAAACGAUGCAUGCUAGGUGUUGGGUUGGCCACGCGCCACCCCAGUGCCGCAGGGAAGCCGUUAAGCAUGCCGCCUGGGAAGUACGAUCGCAAGGUUGAAAC